rnacentral:lncRNA from 1 species
GGGGUAAAGUAGUCUACUCUAGAUACUUUGGGGGCUAUAUAGACUUUUUUUCAAAUAUAUAUUAAAAAGUAUUAAUAUUUAUGGUACAUAAUUAGUAUCACCGGAGAGCUUUUUAAUCUAGUUUUUUAAUAAAUUUAUUUGAAGAUACAAAUGUUGUAUGUAUUUUCUAUAAAUUUAGUUAAACUUGUGAUACCAACCUAAAACAACAAUUAUUUUAGGACGGAGGGAGUAUAUUGCCGCUGCCGGACCUGCGCCGUCACCUUGGCGCGACCUCCUCGCCAGCGGGGUCGCGGCAGACGCUG